GGGGAUUUAGCUCAGUGGUAGAGCAUUUGCCUAGCAAGCGCAAGGCCCUGGGUUCGGUCCCGAGCUCCCCG
rfam:Rattus norvegicus chromosome 5, whole genome shotgun sequence.